rnacentral:lncRNA from 1 species
GGGGAUUGGGUUUCGGCCCCCGCUCCUAGGCUAUAAAUACCACCCCCUACAUGCACCUCUCUCCCCUCCCCCCAACCUGGCCUCGGCCCGCGCAGUGCUCAGCGCCAGCUGUCUCUGCCCAUCCGCGCACCCGUGCUCCGGCUGGGUGCGUCUCACGUUGAGUCGGGGUGACGGGUCUCAGUGAGAACUGCGCUAGCUGCAGUGCCGCACCGCCCUUAUAGGCGGGGGGGGGGCGGGGCCCGCGUUCCCCGCUCGCCCACUAGAGGCUGGGCGGCCCGCAGGCCACGCCUCCCGGGAGGGUAAGCGGCCCCCCCGAGGGGUCCUUCCCAAGCGGCCACAGCUGGCCUUCACCUCUGCCCUUCCAGCCGUGCCUCCCAGGAGACUCGGGCCGGCUGUGAGGCUGUGGCGCGUC